rnacentral:rRNA from 1 species
CAGUCGCCGCGGUAAUACGGAGGGUGCAAGCGUUAAUCGGAAUUACUGGGCGUAAAGCGCACGCAGGCGGUCUGUCAAGUCGGAUGUGAAAUCCCCGGGCUCAACCUGGGAACUGCAUUCGAAACUGGCAGGCUAGAGUCUUGUAGAGGGGGGUAGAAUUCCAGGUGUAGCGGUGAAAUGCGUAGAGAUCUGGAGGAAUACCGGUGGCGAAGGCGGCCCCCUGGACAAAGACUGACGCUCAGGUGCGAAAGCGUGGGGAGCAAACAGGAUUAGAUACCCGUGUAGUCCCUGUCUCUUAUAU